rnacentral:rRNA from 1 species
ACGAACGCUGGCGGCGUGCCUAACACAUGCAAGUCGAGCGGAGACAGUGAGUAGCUUGCUAUGAGCUGUUUUAGCGGCGGACGGGUGAGUAACGCGUGAGCAACCUUUCCCAGACAGGGGAAUAACACACCGAAAGGUGUACUAAUACCGCAUAAGACCACGGAAUCACAUGGUUCUGAGGUAAAAGAUUUAUCGGUUUGGGGUGGGCUCGCGUCCGAUUAGGUAGUUGGUGAGGUAACGGCCCACCAAGCCGACGAUCGGUAGCCGACCUGAGAGGGUGAUCGGCCACAUUGGGACUGAGACACGGCCCAAACUCCUACGGGAGGCAGCAGUGGGGAAUAUUGGGCAAUGGAGGAAACUCUGACCCAGCAACGCCGCGUGGAGGAAGAAGGUUUUCGGAUCGUAAACUCCUGUCCUUGGAGACGAGUAGAAGACGGUAUCCAAGGAGGAAGCCCCGGCUAACUACGUGCCAGCAGCCGCGGUAAUACGUAGGGGGCAAGCGUUGUCCGGAAUAAUUGGGCGUAAAGGGCGCGUAGGCGGCUCGGUAAGUCUGGAGUGAAAGUCCUGCUUUUAAGGUGGGAAUUGCUUUGGAUACUGUCGGGCUUGAGUGCAGGAGAGGUUAGUGGAAUUCCCAGUGUAGCGGUGAAAUGCGUAGAGAUUGGGAGGAACACCAGUGGCGAAGGCGACUAACUGGACUGUAACUGACGCUGAGGCGCGAAAGUGUGGGGAGCAAACAGGAUUAGAUACCCUGGUAGUCCACACUGUAAACGAUGAAUGCUAGGUGUAGGGGGUAUCGACCCCUUCUGUGCCGCAGUCAACACAAUAAGCAUUCCGCCUGGGGAGUACGGCCGCAAGGUUGAAACUCAAAGGAAUUGACGGGGGCCCGCACAAGCAGCGGAGCAUGUGGUUUAAUUCGAAGCAACGCGAAGAACCUUACCUGCUCUUGACAUCCCAUUCGAUAGAGGGUAAUGCCUCUAGCCCUUCGGGGGAAUGGAGACAGGUGGUGCAUGGUUGUCGUCAGCUCGUGUCGUGAGAUGUUGGGUUAAGUCCCGCAACGAGCGCAACCCUUAUCUUCAGUUACUAACGCGUGAGGGUGAGGACUCUGAAGAGACUGCCGGGGACAACUCGGAGGAAGGUGGGGACGACGUCAAAUCAUCAUGCCCCUUAUGACCUGGGCUACACACGUGCUACAAUGGCCACGACAGAGAGAAGCGAAAUCGUAAGGUAGAGCGGAACUCAAAAAAGUGGUCCCAGUUCGGAUUGUGGGCUGCAACCCGCCCACAUGAAGUCGGAGUUGCUAGUAAUCGCGGAUCAGCAUGCCGCGGUGAAUACGUUCCCGGGCCUUGUACACACCGCCCGUCACACCAUGGGAGUUGGGAGUGCCCAAAGCCGGUGAGGCAACCGCAAGGAGCCAGCCGUCUAAGGCAAGACCAAUGACUGGGGUG